rnacentral:rRNA from 1 species
CAAUAGCGUAUAUUAAAGUUGUUGCAGUUAAAAAGCUCGUAGUUGGAUUUCUGGUGGGGGUCGCUGGUCCGCUGCGAAAGCGGCGUGUACCGAUGCGUACCUACCGCCAUCCUCGGGGGGACUGCGUGUGGGAUUAGUUUCUCGUGCGUAUGGACGCCCGUCUUUUACUGUGAAAAAAUUAGAGUGUUCAAAGCAGGCUGAGGCCGUUGAAUACAUUAGCAUGGAAUAAUAAGAUAGGACCUUGGCGGUCUAUUUUGUUGGUUUGCACGCCAAGGUAAUGAUUAAUAGGGAUAGUUGGGGGUAUUCGUAUUCAAUUGUCAGAGGUGAAAUUCUUAGAUUUAUGGAAGACGAACUACUACGAAAGCAUUUACCAAGGAUGUUUUCAUUAA